rnacentral:rRNA from 1 species
GUUAUAUGGUCAAGCGAAUAAGCGCACACGGUGGAUGCCUUGGCGGUCAGAGGCGAUGAAGGACGUGGCAGCCUGCGAAAAGUAUCGGGGAGCUGGCAACAAGCUUUGAUCCGGUAAUGUCCGAAUGGGGAAACCCACCCGCUUGCGGGUAUCCUGCAGUGAAUACAUAGCUGCUGGAAGCGAACCUGGUGAACUGAAAUAUCUAAGUAACCAGAGGAAAAGAAAUCAACCGAGAUUCCGUAAGUAGCGACGAGCGAACGCGGACUAGCCCUUAAGCUGAUUUGGUUCUAGGAAAACGCUUUGGAAAGAGCGGCCAUAGAAGGUGAUAGCCCUGUAUCUGAAAGGGCCAUUUCAGUGAAGACGAGUAGGGCGGGGCACGUGAAACCCUGUCUGAACAUGGGGGGACCAUCCUCCAAGGCUAAAUACUACUGACCGACCGAUAGUGAACCAGUACCGUGAGGGAAAGGCGAAAAGAACCCCGGAGAGGGGAGUGAAAUAGAACCUGAAACCGUGUGCGUACAAGCAGUAGGAGCUCCGCAAGGAGUGACUGCGUACCUUUUGUAUAAUGGGUCAGCGACUUACUGUUCGUGGCAAGCUUAACCGUAUAGGGGAGGCGAAGGGAAACCGAGUCUGAUAAGGGCGCAUAGUCGCGGGCAGUAGACCCGAAACCGGGUGAUCUAGUCAUGCCCAGGGUGAAGGUGCGGUAACACGCACUGGAGGCCCGAACCCACUCCCGUUGCAAAGGUAGGGGAUGAGGUGUGAUUAGGAGUGAAAAGCUAAUCGAACCCGGAGAUAGCUGGUUCUCCUCGAAAGCUAUUUAGGUAGCGCCUCAUAUGUAUCCUCUCGGGGGUAGAGCACUGUUAUGGCUAGGGGGUCAUCGCGACUUACCAAACCAUUGCAAACUCCGAAUACCGAGACGGACUGUAUGGGAGACACACGGCGGGUGCUAACGUCCGUCGUGAAAAGGGAAACAACCCAGACCCACAGCUAAGGUCCCAAAUUUUGUGCUAAGUGGAAAACCAUGUGGAAAGGCACAGACAGCCAGGAGGUUGGCUUAGAAGCAGCCACCCUUUAAAGAAAGCGUAAUAGCUCACUGGUCGAGUCGGUCUGCGGGGAAGAUUUAACGGGGCUAAGCACAGAACCGAAGCUUGGGGUGCAUAACUUUGUUAUGCGCGGUAGAGGAGCGUUCCGUAAGCCGUUGAAGGUGGAUUGAGAAGUCUGCUGGAGGUAUCGGAAGUGCGAAUGCUGACAUGAGUAACGAUAAUGCGGGUGAAAAACCCGCACGCCGAAAGCCCAAGGUUUCCUUGCGCAACGUUAAUCGGCGCAGGGUGAGUCGGCCCCUAAGGCGAGGACGAAAGUCGUAGUCGAUGGGAAGCAGGUUAAUAUUCCUGCACCUCGCGUAAGUGCGAUGGAGGGACGGAGAAGGUUAGGUGUACCAGGCGUUGGUUGUCCUGGGGAAAGGCGGUAGGUUUGGAUCUUUGGCAAAUCCGGGAUCCUUUAAGACCGAGCACCGAGACGAGCCUUUAUGGCGAAGUCACUGAUACCACGCUUCCAGGAAAAGCUCCUAAGCUUCAGCUUACGCAGACCGUACCGUAAACCGACACAGGUGGGUAGGAUGAGAAUUCUCAGGCGCUUGAGAGAACUCGGGUGAAGGAACUAGGCAACAUGGCACCGUAACUUCGGGAGAAGGUGCACCCUUGGUGGUGGCUCAUGCGAGCACAAGCUACCGAGGGUCGCAGUAACCAGGCCGCUGCGACUGUUUAUCAAAAACACAGCACUCUGCAAACACGAAAGUGGACGUAUAGGGUGUGACGCCUGCCCGGUGCUGGAAGGUUAAUUGAUGGGGUCAGCCGCAAGGCGAAGCUCUUGAUCGAAGCCCCAGUAAACGGCGGCCGUAACUAUAACGGUCCUAAGGUAGCGAAAUUCCUUGUCGGGUAAGUUCCGACCUGCACGAAUGGCGUAACGACAGCGGCGCUGUCUCCACCCGAGACUCAGUGAAAUUGAAAUCGCUGUGAAGAUGCAGCGUUCCCGUGGCAAGACGGAAAGACCCCGUGAACCUUUACUAUAGCUUUACACUGAACGUUGAGUUCGUCUGUGUAGGAUAGGUGGGAGGCUAUGAAACUGUGGCGCUAGCUGCAGCGGAGCCAUCCUUGAAAUACCACCCUGUCGUGCUUGACGUUCUAACCUGGGCCCAUUAUCUGGGUCGGGGACCGUGUAUGGUGGGUAGUUUGACUGGGGCGGUCUCCUCCUAAAGAGUAACGGAGGAGCUCGAAGGUACGCUCAGCGCGGUCGGACAUCGCGCACUGUGUGCAAAGGCAUAAGCGUGCUUGACUGCAAGAUCGACGGAUCAAGCAGGUAGGAAACUAGGACUUAGUGAUCCGGUGGUUCUGUAUGGAAGGGCCAUCGCUCAACGGAUAAAAGGUACUCCGGGGAUAACAGGCUGAUACCGCCCAAGAGUUCAUAUCGACGGCGGUGUUUGGCACCUCGAUGUCGGCUCAUCACAUCCUGGGGCUGUAGUCGGUCCCAAGGGUAUGGCUGUUCGCCAUUUAAAGUGGUACGCGAGCUGGGUUCAGAACGUCGUGAGACAGUUCGGUCCCUAUCUGCCAUGGGCGUUGGAGAUUUGAGAGGGGCUGCUCCUAGUACGAGAGGACCGGAGUGGACGAACCUCUGGUGUUCCGGUUGUCACGCCAGUGGCAUUGCCGGGUAGCUAUGUUCGGAAGCGAUAACCGCUGAAAGCAUCUAAGCGGGAAGCGCGCCUCAAGAUGAGAUCUCCCGGGGCACAAGCCCCCUGAAGGAACCAUGUAGACUACGUGGUUGAUAGGUCAGGUGUGUAAGUGCAGCAAUGCAUUGAGCUAACUGAUACUAAUGAUCCGUGCGGCUUGACCAUAUAACCU